CCCUUGCUCUCCCGUGACUUUGCUUUGUCUCCUUCAUAUUUCAUCUCACGUUAUUUACUACUCUGCUACAUUCUCAAUCAUUGAUUGCUCUUUCUAUUCCUGUUCUUCUCCCUUGUGCUUGGCUUUUAAUCCUUUGCAUUUCAUCUUCGAUCAUUUAUUACUCUGCUUUAAUCCUACUCAUUUACCACUCCAACUUCCGGCCUUUGUAUUUACUCACUUUCUUUGCUGGUUUUUGACUGGUUGCUAUUUCAUAUUUAAGGCAGUGUUUAUAGUGCUCCAGGUAUUACUUAUAACCUUUGCCUAUAGCCAUUCACUAUUUGUUAAUCUAUGUCUACUUUUUUCUUUUAUUCUCUUUUCUUUACAUCGUAAUUAUUAUUGGGAUGGAUUUUGACAUCUUGAACUUUAUAUAAACAAUCCCAAAACAACUGUGUUUGGGUUUAUCUCACUUCCUCUUCCUAUUCCCUCUAAAGCCGAGAAUUGAAACCUGUCCAACUUAGAAAGAGAAAGGCAUUCUUGGUUGUUUAAGUGAACGUUGCUCCAUCUAAAGCUAAAUCCACCAACUGAAUUUAGUUUCCAGUUUCAUCUUGGCAUAUUUACUACUCAUUCUUUUAAACUAGCUCUACCUGAUUUCUGUUUCAUUGGCUCAUACUCACUAUUUCAGGCAAUAUUCGUUACAGAUGUUAUUAAAAUCAUCAAAAGUAUCCAAGCAAUUGAGAAGACAAACAGAUGACAGCCAUCUAGAAAAUGACUAAAAAUCAGCUACAGCUCCAAAGAACCAUCAAAAAAAGAAAAGUCAAAAAUGUAAUGUACAAAUAUUUUUACUAGACCUUUAUAGUAGAC